CAGUGUUUAUAUCAUACGAGUAAAUAAAAAAUGGACCUGAGUCAAGCAGAACCUAAUUUGGUCUAACCCAAAAACCUGGACCACAUAAAACUCCUUCUUAACUUUAAAUAUCUUUCCUUGAGUAAACUCUAAUUCAACUAAUUGUCCUUUUUUAUCAUCUCAACAGCCAUUUCCCCUCUCAUCUAUUUUCACUUGACGAUAGUAAAACAUUUAUAUUUAUUAUUUAAUUGUGUGGACUUUUAUCUAUGAUACCUUCAAGUAUAUCAAUACAUAUAAAGGAUCAUAAUAUGUAAACUUUAAAAAUGGUCAAUUUUGUAGAUGAUAUUAAAAACUUUUAAAUAAAAAUUCAAUUUUGUAGAUGAUAUUUGCAAAGUAAUGAAGCUGUUGCCCAGAUGUAGACAAUCCAAAAGAAGGGAUGACUUGGAUUUUCAAAUUUUUUUACAAUAUAAACCAAAUAUGCACUUAAUUAUGAUCAACUAAGCAUGCAAUAGAAAUAAUGAAUCAAAAUAGGAAGUAUGGUGAAAUAAAUAAGAAAAAAAUAACAAUAAGCAAAAGCACACACAAAUAUAAAAUUUUAAAGUGGUUUGAUGUCAAAUUCAGCAUCUACGUCCACUCUCUAAAUUUUUUUACUUAAAAAUUUUACUAUAAUCCUCUUGAUUAUAGUAUGAUUAUUUUAAUCAGACUCACAGUCAGUCCAACUGAUUGUUUUAUUGGGCUCACAAUCAACCCAAUUGAUUCUAUACAGAAAAUCAACGAAAACUUUUCUAACUGAGUCACCUCUAGACUUAGUCCAUACAACAUCCAAUUAUAGACUUAGAUAAGCUUAUCUUAUAAGUUUUUAUCCCAAAAAACUUGUAAAAAAAAAGAUAUACAAUAAGAAUGCGAAAGUAUAGGUGAGAGCACUAGAGGAAUAAAACUUAUUGAAGUUUAAUUGAAGUCGAUAAUGAUUGCUCUUUGAAGUUUGGAUUUCUUCAUUUGAAUAAAUGAGAGAUCUUUCUUAUUUAUUGAGGAUGUUUUCUUAUAAGUUCACUCAAUUAAUUGUAUUUGAUUUUUUUUUUUUGAUUUGCUCCAAGAUAUUCAAUGUCCUCAUCAAAAAAUUAGAUUUCUCUCUUUUCUUUCCUUUUAAAUCCACUUCUCUUUGCUCUUCUUUGAGUUUAAAAGUCUUUAAAUUCUUUAAAAAGAGCCAAAUUAGUCGUUUCUAGCCGUUGGAGACUAAAAACUAACCAUUGGAGGACUUUGUAUAAAUCUAUAGUUUUUGAAAAAUUAAUCGUUAGAGUUGGAGUCAACUUAAAUAGAUCUAGAGUCGACUCGAGAAUUUCUGGAGUCGACUCGAGGAUUGCACAGAGAAAAUAUAUUCUCUAUUUUUUUUUUUUUUAAGAAUCAGUCAAGUUUUUUAGAAGUUGAUUUGAGUUCUGUGCUAUUUGAUGUCAAUAUGUUGGAGUUAAUUUUAAAAUUUAAAAAUAAAAUUUAUGGGAUAGGAAUUAUCUGUCCAAAGUCCUCCGUUGAGAUUUAUUUGGGAUUCAACCUCAAGUCUCGUGAACCCUCACAUUAUCUAGAAAGAAAAAGAAAGAGAGAGGAGAGAGGAAAACAGAGAAGAGAGAAAAUAAAGAAAAGAGAGAAGAGAGUUCUCCUCUUCGUUAAAACAGGGGAUACCUCCUUUUGUUUUUUUCUUCCCCAAACAUGGCCAGCCGCCCGACGACCGGCAACAUCCCCCAGCGUCUGACGGUGGGGACUUGGCGGUAUAGUCCUGAACACUGGCCGACGACAGCCAUGCCGGUGGUGGUUGGCAAAACAAGGGACAAACACAAACAGGGAUCUCGGUUUCAAACUUGGGUUCCAGCGAGCUGCCAGCUUAAAUCAAGUGGGACGACGGCUGCGGAAUCAAGGGAAGGAGGAGAAUAAGAGCUUAGGUCCUUACGUAUGUCCGCUACGGCCAAGAAGGUGUUCCGACGACCUAAUCUGAUGGGAAACCAAGGAGAAAAUUGCAAUGAAAAUCUCGGAUACGGCGGUGAUUUCUUAUGAUUUUCCGGUGGUUGAGUCCAUAGGAGAAGUCGUGAGGCUCUUAUUUUUGGAGUCCUAAAUUCCCCUUUCUCAGUCAGAAUUGGAGAAGAGGGAAGACUCCCUUUUUCUUUUUGAGAUAUGUGCAGGGAAGGAUGAAGUUUGGAAAAAUUUUUGGGCGGGUCAUCAGAGAGGGUAUCACUUUUCUAUCACCAUUGGAAAUCUUUAGGUGAAGACUGAUGAUGCAUUUGAGAUUGAUAUCUUUGGACCAAAAAAAUAUUUCCAAUGCAAUGCUAGAGUAAAUGCUUUUGUCUCUAAUAUUUCAUACAUCAUCUCAAGGUAAAUUAAUGUUUUUAAUUUUAAGGCCA
rnacentral:lncRNA from 1 species